UACGUAGGGGGCUAGCGUUGUCCGGAAUCAUUGGGCGUAAAGCGCGUGUAGGCGGUCCGGUAAGUCCGCUGUGAAAGUCGGGGGCUCAACCCUCGAAUGCCGGUGGAUACUGUCGGGCUAGAGUGCGGAAGAGGCGAGUGGAAUUCCUGGUGUAGCGGUGAAAUGCGCGGAUAUCAGGAGGAACACCUAUUGCGAAGGCAGCUCGCUGGGACGUAACUGACGCUGAGACGCGAAAGCGUGGGGAGCAAACAGG
rnacentral:rRNA from 1 species